rnacentral:rRNA from 2 species
CGGGCUUGAAUUGCCAGCGCACGAUACAGAGAUGUUGAGGUCCUUCGGGACGCUGGUGAAGGUGCUGCAUGGUU